rnacentral:rRNA from 1 species
AGUGAACGCUGGCGGUAGGCCUAACACAUGCAAGUCGAACGGCAGCACAGUAAGAGCUUGCUCUUACGGGUGGCGAGUGGCGGACGGGUGCGGAAUACAUCGGAAUCUACUUUUUCGUGGGGGAUAACGUAGGGAAACUUACGCUAAUACCGCAUACGACCUACGGGUGAAAGCAGGGGAUCUUCGGAACUUGCGCGAUUGAAUGAGCCGAUGUCGGAUUAGCUAGUUGGCGGGGUAAAGGCCCACCAAGGCGACGAUCCGUAGCUGGUCUGAGAGGAUGAUCAGCCACACUGGAACUGAGACACGGUCCAGACUCCUACGGGAGGCAGCAGUGGGGAAUAUUGGACAAUGGGCGCAAGCCUGAUCCAGCCAUACCGCGUGUGUGAAGAAGGCCUUCGGGUUGUAAAGCCCUUUUGUUGGGAAAGAAAAGCAGCAGGUUAAUACCCCGCUGUUCUGACGGUACCCAAAGAAUAAGCACCGGCUAACUUCGUG